rnacentral:tRNA from 1 species
UUUUAUAUAGUUUAAUUAAUAAAACAUUACACUUUCACUGUAAAAAUAGAGAUAUUCUUAUAAUAC